AGCCACUAGCAUUUAUUUGUGGUUUAACCUGCCCAAUGUACAAAAAAUUUCCAAUGAAUGGCCGCGGUACUUUGACCGUGCUAAGGUAGCGUAAUUAGUUGGCUUUUAAAUGGAGUCAGGAAUGAAUGGGAGAACCGGGUUUAGCUGUCUCUUAACUAAUAUGUUGAAUUUACUGUUCAAGUGAAAAAGCUUGAUAAUAGAAAAGGGACGAGAAGACCCUUAGAAUUUUAUUUAAUUAGAAGAAUUUUAAUGAUUUCUCCUUAUAAUUUUGUUGGGGCGACAGAGAAAUACUUUUAAACUUUCUUUUAUAAGAUUAGCCGAUUAUAUUAAGCGAGAAUAAAUUACCUGAGGGAUAACAGCAUAAUUCUUCAAAAGAGUUUGUGACCUCGAUGUUGGACUAGGAAACUAGUAGAUUAGCCAUUUACUGUGUUAGUUCUGUUCGAACUGUAAUUCCUA
rnacentral:rRNA from 1 species